AGUAGAGUCAGCUAAUUUAAGCUCUUGGGCCCAUGCCCCAAACAUGUAGGUUAAAGUCCUGCCUCUGCUA
rnacentral:tRNA from 1 species